UACAGGGGGGGCAAGCGUUGUUCGGAAUUACUGGGCGUAAAGGGUUCGUAGGUGGCCAACUAAGUCAGACGUGAAAUCCCUCAGCUUAACUGGGGAACUGCGUCUGAUACUGGAUGGCUUGAGUGUAGGAGAGGAAUGCGGAAUUCCAGGUGUAGCGGUGAAAUGCGUAGAGAUCGGGAAGAACAUCGGUGGCGAAAGCGCUCUACUGGACCGCAACUGACACUCAGGGACGAAAGCUAGGGGAGCGAAUGGG
rnacentral:rRNA from 1 species